UACGUAGGGUGCGAGCGUUAAUCGGAAUUACUGGGCGUAAAGCGUGCGCAGGCGGUUCGUUGUGUCGGUGGUGAAAGCCCCGGGCUUAACCUGGGAAUGGCCAUGGAAACUGGCGGACUGGAGUGUGGCAGAGGGGGGUGGAAUUCCGCGUGUAGCAGUGAAAUGCGUAGAGAUGCGGAGGAACACCGAUGGCGAAGGCAGCCCCCUGGGCUAGCACUGACGCUCAGGCACGAAAGCGUGGGGAGCAAACAGG
rnacentral:rRNA from 1 species